AAGGAGUCUAACAUAUCUGCGAGUAUUUGGGUGACGAACCCGAGUGCGCAAUGAAAGUGAACGUAGGAGCCACGCGCAAGCUGCAGCUUCGACCGCUCUGGAUCUUUAGUGAUGGAUUUGAGUAAGAGCAUAUAUGUUGGGACCCGAAAGAUGGUGAACUAUGCCUGAAUAGGGCGAGGCCAGGGGAAACUCUGGUGGAGGCUCGUAGCGAUUCUGACGUGCAAAUCGAUCGUCAAAUUUGGGUAUAGGGGCGAAAGACUAAUCGAACCAUCUAGUAGCUGGUUCCUGC
rnacentral:misc_RNA from 1 species